AGCGCGGGGGAGCGGCGGGCCGGGGCCGCCGCCCCCCACCUCACCCCACCCCCCGCCCGGACCGGGCCCUCAUGAAAGAAAACCCCAAAGGAACAGCGUUUCCAGUUGAAGGGAGGCGGCGCCUACAGCCGGCGCGGCGACUGCGGCCGGCCGGGGCCGGGGCCCGGGCCCGGGCCUGACCGGGGUCCCGACCGGGGGUCCCGCCCUGCCCCCGCCGCAGGGCUUUCACUUUCAUUUGCGGCGGGGGUCUGGAAGCGGGAGGAGGGCGGGCACAGCAGAGGGAAGCGAGAGGUCUGCGGGAUCGCUUGUGCUCCCUCUGGCUGGCGGUGGCGGGGCGGGGGGAGGACUUGCUCUCUUCAUCGCCAGUUAAUCUCCGAUAGCCAAAAAAAGAAGAAAGAAAGAAAGAAAAAAAAUUAUUUCCUUCCUGAACCUAGGUUCUGAGGUUUCGGGCUUCUGCUAACAGUAUUUCCCGAGCGGUGCGUGUGCGCGUUUUCCUCCCGAGCCGGAGGUAGUAGAUACAAUUCUCCCGGUGAACCCGUAAGAGCUGGCCGGCCUGUGGGAUGAUUCGCAGGGAAGCGUCCGAGCGCGCAGCUGCCCCGGGGCUUCCCCGCGGGCGGAACGGCCAGGACCGGCCCGCGGAUUGACGGCCGAGCGCGGCAGCCCCCGCCGCGGCCCCGGGCUGGCUGCCGGCCCCUGGGGCGGGGAAGUGAGACCGGCGGCUGCCGCGCGCCCCGCUGAGCGGGGGCGCGUGCGAAGCGCUGCUGCAGCGGAACGCGGCUCGGCGCGUAGCUAUGCGGAAUUUCUUCCAACAGUAGCUCUAGCCCCCUAAAAAGGUAGUCGCGUUUGUCAUCAUCCAUACUGCAACUUCGCGCUAACACAAUAAACACUGAUUUGUGAGAUCCUUUCCCACUCGUCAGGCAAACGCACGUUGCGGUGGCCCGGGGAGCAGCGGAGCGUUACCGGCGCAUCGGAAACCGGAGCUGUAAAACCAGCCCUCCGUAGGAACACAGGCACUGGGAGGAGAAAGGCUGUCUUCUGGAAAUAAUGAAGGCCUAAGAUGAUAACAUGGAAAGACCACACUCGCCAAGCAAGCUCUGCGGCAGAUACAUCCAGGUGCACCUUAGCUGCAUCAUCUGUCUCCACGGCCAGGCAUUGUGACAGGUUCUGCUCGACGUUUUCUGCAGGUUUGGUGUUAUAUACAGAGAGCCAUGAGAGCCCAUCCUUUUGAAAGGACAGAUUGCAAAGAGAGAGGGUUUUUUUCCCCAUUCUGCAUCAGGAACAGAAAUAACCUUUUGAACAGACACACACAUAUCACAGCCAGCUGCCUCAUGCUUGUGGCAUCCUCAUGGGAUUUGGGAGACCUGCCUUCAAACCAGACCCUGCCUGAAUCAGUCUCGGGAGCGCUCAGGUUGCUGUCUGGCGGCUAGGCUGGGGACUCUUCUGGUGUGGAGGACCGGCCUCCCCCUGGCUGGAGCUGCUCCACUGACUGUAACUGAAUGAAUGCUCAUCAAGAUAAAAAGAAAGGCAGCUUAUCACUGUCUAGUUAGGGCCCUCACAUGGGUUCAACUCCCUUCUCUAAAUCGAGCAAAGCAAAGAUUCUUGGGCUGGGCAAAACCCAGCUGCUUGCUCAGACCAAGAAGUUAUUUAUUCCCUGCCCCAGACUGGAGUUACACCUGCUGCUGGAGCUGAGAAAAUGUUUCCAAUAGCAAUUUUGUCAAAACUGGUAUAUUACCAGGAAAAGCUUUGGCUCCAGUUAAAAAAAUUCCUGACCAUCUGUGAUUAGAAUUUCUGACAGAAUUCCCAAUACAGUUUGACUUACCUGUUUUGCUUUAUUAUAUAAAAUUGUUUUUCAGUGUGAACCUUGUUCAGGUAAAAAUACCGAGUUUAUUUGAUUUUAUUUUUGUUUCAUCAGCCCAAAUAACAUCUACAUACACGUUUUUAUGGUCUGCAACUUUUAAGAAAAGAAACUUGCACAGAAAGUGGUGUGCAGAUUCUUAGCAUAAAUUUUUUCUUUGCUGCAAGUAGAAGUCUUUGUAGCAGGGAUAGGAAUUCUAUUAUGAAUUCUGAUAAUAUAUAUAAACUGUGUCUCAGAAGCAUUUAUUGAGCACAGAGCAUAUUACUCCAUGUCUUAACCAUGGAAGUAGUUACCUAAAGCGUGCCUGACUUCACUUUAGGCCUUUGAAUCCUUUAGUAUGUCAGUCAACAACUGGUAAGAUUGGCAAGCACACUUCUUUUGUUUAAAUAAAUAUUUAUAUUGAACUUCAGUUUAACAUUGCUAGACAUAUUUGGAGGUAUUUGAGGUUGAUUCCAGGAAUCUUGCUUUUAACUGAAAUAAAUGCAGAAGGGAAAGAAGUUUUUGGUGAGCAGUGCAUUUCUGUAAGAUGAGAUUCUUGCUACCUGUACAUUUGGAUGGACAUGCUUGAAAGUAUGGGGUUUUCUUCCAGGAAAUAUUUUCACCUGGUCAAUGAAGACCUGAGGAUAAUAACCUAUCAUAUUUAGAAAUAUCCCAGUAGUGUUUGGAGAAUGAAUAACAACUUUUUUUAAAAAAAUUAAAUAUAAAAUUAUAAAUACAUAAACACAUUUGCUAAAAUACUUCAGUUGACCAUAUAGUUGCAAAAAAACCCCCAAACAUUAUAACCUUGCAUGUAUAUGUGCUCUAGGUUCUGUGCUUUAUCUGUGUUUAUAGGGAGAAAAGCUCUUGAUGUGCACAAGGACUUCAUUUUUAGUCCCCUGAACUAAAAGAUUCCAGGGGUACUUGGUACUAUUGAGAUCCAGUAUCUUUCACUGGCAUUUCCUUGUAAAUAGCCUGAAUUCAGAUUGCUUACAAAUCUCAUCUCCCCUUGCAGGAAGAGAUCUAAAAACAUCUCUAGAAAUUACUCUGGGCCAUGUGUUCAGCCUAAUACCAACCACUUGCAGUCAGAAGUAGAAGCUAUUGUGCCUGGCACAUUGUAUUUCAGAGACAGAAUGCAUAUCAAAGUGUACUUCCAACUGGAAAGUGCACCCCUUUUGAGUUGAGCUGUCUUGAUGGCCCUCUAUAACAAAAUUCACAGCGAUGCAAUUUGGCUUCAAGUAUGGCUUUGAGGAUACUUUUGCCCAGCAAUGCGGAUAUUGCCAAGAAUGUCUUCAUUUAAAUACAAAGAGCCUGAGCAAAGGCAGGGUGGUAGGCCAUCCUUUUCCAGGAUGUCCCCUGCAAGCAGCUGUGUGUGUUAUGCUGAUGCAGGACUUACCCUCACCCAAGCCUCCUUGUUUCUGCAAGACCCUGCGAACCUGGCCAACUUGAUUUUAGUAUAAAAUUUGGAAAUAAAACUAGAAAACUUCGUGUAAGCUUGGCAUCCUGCAGCAUGUCCUGGCCAGUUUCCUCCCUGGUGGAACAAAGAUGAGGCAGGGCAGAGAGAUUAAGAGUAUAUGAAUGUGGUGAGAGUAAUGCUCAGAGCUUGCUCAAAACAUGGGAAGGGUGGACAGUGGGAGGGGUAAGAUUUAAUAUCUCUCUAGUAAAUCUGAGGUGAGGAAUAUUAGACUACUCAAGGUGAUUAGGGAAUCCCUAGAGCAGAAUGGAUGUUGGCCUCAGGUUUUGCAGGCAAAUAUGGUGGAACCAAUCCUAUCCUCAUUAAGAUUAAAGUAGAAAGGAAAGAAAAAAAACAAUACAGUUCCAUACAAGAACAGGAAUAGUAGUAAGCAGAAAAGGUAACUCAGAUGCGGGAGUUGUUUUAUUUCAGAGUAUUUUUUCCUGCUUUAUCUAUUUCCAGCUUUCUGAGUCAAGGGAUAGAUACCAGAAAGAAGAUUACUCAGUAGGCAAAAUGGAUUGUUUGAAGGGAGCAUUUCCCAGCUAUAUGAAUUAUAGUUGUUCUGUGUAUUCUUGUUUUGUUAUUUGCCUAUUUCCAGAGAAAGUUGUUCAUAAGAUCUGAACAGUCAGCAAGACUUGCGGAGAACAAAGCUAAAACAAAUUGUACAAUGUGUGGAAAAGGUGUAUGGAAAAUCUGUAUGGAAAAAAUUGGUAACUGGUAUUCCUCAAAGAUUAGCGUACACAGAAACAUAUAAAAGCUAUGCAGAAAAUCUUAGCAAAUACAUAAGAAUUCAGUUAUUUUUAUUUUAGAAUGAAAAAUCUGGAAUUAACUCACGAGAAUACUUGGCUGUUAGAUUGCAGAGCACUGCAGCGUUUUGCAGCCUGGCACUCAGCUCUAGGAAUGACACUCCCAGCACAGAAUUAGGCACCUCAGUAUCAGGUGCCCGAGUGACUUGUUUGGUUUCUGAAUUGAAGAAUUACAGGAGUUAUACUGAUGAGCAUCACAGACAGCUCAUUUAGCAUCUGCUGAAUUAUGUGGUGAUUCCCCUUUUCUUGGUAUGCUUUAUAUACAAGCAUGAACACAGACUAAUGUCAGAGAUUGUAAAAUUGGAUUAUGAAAUGAGCACAGGUUUAUUUUGAAUGGAAAGAAUUGGACUUUCCUUUCUAUAUUCCUGGACUGUAUAGCUGGAAAAGAUUUAUUAAAGACUCUAGAGCAUACGGUGCAUACUGCUUUGGACAUGGAUUACAACUUUGUCUAAUUUAGAUGGUUUUCUGGCAUUCUUUCUACCAGAGUGUCUUGCAACAGUUUAUAAAUGAAACUAUCUUUAAUAAAAACUGUUAAGCCAAAGGUUUGAAGAAUUGAAAAAAAAAAAUUACAAUGCUCACCUCUCCCCUUGUAACUUUUGGGUAUCCCUCCAAAAUGCAACAACUUACUGUGAAUGCAGUAGGGUGCUUUGUGAAUGUGGUUAGUAAAUACAUUUCUUUCCCCUUAUCUCACAAGUAACUUCAUUGUUCAUUUUCUUAUAUGAUUCUGUAAAAAUAGAUAAUAACUUUUUGAGAAUUGA